GGCCAGACUCCUACGGGAGGCAGCAGUGAGGAAUAUUGGGCAAUGGGCGCAAGCCUGACCCAGCGACGCCGCGUGAGGGAAGACGGUCUUCGGAUUGUAAACCUCUUUCAGCAGGGAAGACAAAAGGACGGUACCUGCAGAAGAAGCCACGGCUAACUACGUGCCAGCAGCCGCGGUAAUACGUAAGUGGCAAGCGUUAUCCGGAUUUACUGGGUGUAAAGGGAGCGUAGACGGCAUGGCAAGUCAGAUGUGAAAGCCCGGGGCUCAACCCCGGGACUGCAUUUGAAACUGUCAGGCUGGAGUGCAGGAGAGGUAAGUGGAAUUCCUAGUGUAGCGGUGAAAUGCGUAGAUAUUAGGAGGAACACCAGUGGCGAAGGCGGCUUACUGGACUGUAACUGACGUUGAGGCUCGAAAGCGUGGGGAGCAAACAGGAUUAGAUACCCUAGUAGA
rnacentral:rRNA from 1 species